AGCGAACGCUGGCGGCAGGCUUAACACAUGCAAGUCGAACGGGCACUUCGGUGCUAGUGGCAGACGGGUGAGUAACACGUGGGAACGUACCUUUCGGUUCGGAAUAAUCCAGGGAAACUUGGACUAAUACCGGAUACGCCCUUCGGGGGAAAGAUUUAUCGCCGAUAGAUCGGCCCGCGUCUGAUUAGCUAGUCGGUGAGGUAAUGGCUCACCAAGGCGACGAUCAGUAGCUGGUCUGAGAGGAUGAUCAGCCACAUUGGGACUGAGACACGGCCCAAACUCCUACGGGAGGCAGCAGUGGGGAAUAUUGGACAAUGGGCGCAAGCCUGAUCCAGCCAUGCCGCGUGAGUGAUGAAGGCCUUAGGGUUGUAAAGCUCUUUUGUCCGGGAAGAUAAUGACUGUACCGGAAGAAUAAGCCCCGGCUAACUUCGUGCCAGCAGCCGCUGUAACAC
rnacentral:rRNA from 1 species